GUUCUUGCUACAGGCCACAUGGGCAAUACUCAGCGCUCAUAUCCUCAUCAAGUCACUGCAUAUGUGUGGCAGAUGGGCGCCCUCUACAGGCGGGAUACGAGCGCCCUCAUGCUGCUCAAACGUCAUCUGGAUCAAACCAAACUGAGGAGUGAGGGGGCAGUACCUUUUUACAAGGUAAAAGGCAAAUUACAACAGUAGUUGCUCAAAAAUAAAAUAUAUUUGAUUGUUAAUAUUAUAUUUGAUCAAUUACAUCCAAGAACAUGUUAUUUCAUUAGCAGGGAGUGGGGGUGUCACAGCUUCAGUCUGUCCCGGGCAUCAUUCAAGCUAGGACUAAUUUGAGAUUUGAGAAACUUUAGCAGUGACUGUGCUUAAUGAUGGUUGUGAUGCAAACUGCUAAUGCUAUAGCUCAUUAACUUGAAUGUAAGUGAAGUUAAUUCAUUAUUUUUUAAAAAUUCUAUUGAUAUUCAAAUAAAAUACUUAAGUCCAAUAUUGUCUAACUCUCAAUUUUCAAUACCGAUAUCGAUAUGGGUAACAUAAUAAUAAUAAUAAUUGAUCAUUUCUUAUAGCCAGCAUAUCUAGAAAAUUGAUGUAUGGAAGGAGUAAGCCAACUUCUAGCAAACCUCAUUCGUUUACAUGCUUGAGAGGCGGUUUGAUGAGGUCAUCUUUUACACGUCGCAUCGGUGUGAUUCCCAGUCUGCCCACUGAUAUGAAGUUGGCAGCUCCUCGUCUAAGUUGAAUGUCAAGCAAAGAAGUGGAGAUGCCGUACCUUAUAUUAUCAUGGGGGAACUUGAAUUCACUACCAAAAAAGAUCGACGAGUUGGCAAGAACGUCAAGACCUUCAAAUUUGUGCUUCACUGAAUGGCUAUAAACGAGCAUCCCAGAGGCUAACGUGAGAAGCUAGCUAGCUGUCUUCAGUACAGUCAGAAUGGCCAGGACCACAAGAGCUUGUGGAAAGCACAAAGUAGGUGGGCUUGCAAUGUAGGUGAACACACUGUGAUGUCAUCUUGGCCAUGCCAUCAUUAAAAUGUUCAUUUAUAUAGCGUUUUUAUAAUAUGGGAUUUCAUUUUGGGGGCAAAAAAUCUGACACCAAUGUCUCCCAAUAUCAUAUUUUUAUGCUGAUAACUGGUCAAUAUUAUCAGUGGCCUGAUUUCAUCGGCCAUCCCUAAUUUUAACACAUUUUUCUCUCCUCUUUUGUCAUGUUCUUCAUGGAACCGAGUUACAAAUGGUGCAGAUCCAUCUGUCCUCAGUGGCUAAUCAGCAUGCAAAACUCUUCAUUGGAGGUGAUGGAACAACUAACGUCAGAGAUGAGGAUGAGGAAGAAGAAGUGCCACAGCAUCCCUGAGAACAUUGGGUUUUCAGGUAGUUGACUUCCUCCUCCAAGCCGUUCACUCUGUACAAGAGAGACUUGAAAGUCUCAGAUUCCUCGCAGUCACAUUUGGUUUGCAACUGGAUCCCCCUGGAAUGUCGAUGUUAUAGACAUGGCUGAAGCUUGAAGUGACACAUUCCGUUUAUCACAUCACUGUGCACACUACCUUGGUAUGAAGUUUGUGAUGAAGGACUGGGUUCGACAGCCAAGGAUGUCUAAGGGCUUCAGAUGCUCCCAUCCUCCAACUGAAGAGCCUCUCCUUCAGGUCAAACUGAAACUCAACCCCAUCUGCCCGGAAGACAGCCCAGUCCUCCUGCUCCUGCUCAUCCUCAUCCUCUUCCUUUCCCUCCUUCUUCCCUUCUUCCUCCUUGUCUUCCUGGACCUUUUGAGCUUCCUCCACCACCACAGGUUCCUCAGCGAUGCCGAGCUCCACUGUCUGGUGCAGGUCAGCUUCUGAAGUUGGCGAGGCCACUUCGCAGUUGCCACUAUCAGUACAAAAGAAGCUCUGAGCUCUCUGUUGCAUCUUCAGCUGUCGACUCUUCCUCUUCUUCUACGAGGUGGACUUCUUCCUCUACAUCUUCAACAUCUAGUGUGAGCUCUUCCUCAGCAACAUCUCCAACUGGAAUCUUGUCCUCAUCCAUUUCUGCACCGACCGCCUCCUGUUGGGAUGCCACUACGAGGUCCUGUACACCAUCACCUCGUUGCUCUUGAGAAGGAACGCCAGCUUCCAGAUUCAAAUAUACAUCGGUGAGCUGGUCACGUGCUGUUCAGAGGGAGAUGCCCAUGCUGCACUAUUAUUAUAUCGGUAUGGUAUCCAUAUGCUAGCAAGGAUGCUACGUGGGACUUUUGAGGUCAAUGACAGAAUGCAGGAGGUCACAUGGGAAGAGCUUAGUCACAUAGUGGUGGAUCUGCUGUGGUAAAUGUCAAUGUGGAUUUCCUAAAUGUCAAGAGGAAUGGAAACAAGAGAGGGCAAGGAGGACGUCGGCUUGUCUGAGGUGGGCACACUCUGACACCAUUCAUGAAAACUCCAGGAUGUGUGUAUUUAAUUAACUGUGUCCAUAUGGCAUUCAAACUAUUUUGCACCUCUUUCUAUGUGAAAGAUAGUUGACCAGAAGGUACGGUAUUGAGUUACACGCUGCAACACACCAGCAAUAUGAGUCAAUACAUAGCGGUAGUGUAGAAUCACUUGCUCUUAAACACCCCGUUAGCCCUGUUAUUACGUUUUAGUCAUGAUUUUGUUGUCAUUUAGUCGUCACUAUGUAUAACACAUCACAGGGAAUACACAAAAGCUUCUACACUGAAAAACAAUCACAUCUGCAUGUGUUGGCCUUCCUCCGCCUCCCCACCGGCUCUUGGGGACUGCUACUCCUGUACCCAAUGCUUAUCUGGUCUAUCCAGCACUGCACAAACAGGCAAUGGAAAACACGCUCUCAUCAUUGGUUGCUGCAUUUCACCCCUCUUUCCCUACCCAUUCCGAAUCUCAGUAAAUGUUCAUAAACCAUUGCUAUUUCUAUCACUUAUAUUUUCAUUCCUCUUUGUCUGUCCCCUCUUAAACCAUGUACUCAUCAGUGGCAAAAUAAACAUACAGACCGCCAAUACUGUAUGACUAAGAUACCUAAUGCUUAUUAAAAUACUUCUAAAUCUCUAAAUUUCAACCCUAAAUUACUUUGUCUUCAUCACCUAAUUCAGGUUAUUAUUGUAUAAUUGUAUUACAAAAUAUUUCACUAUACAUUUUUUUUUUGCUGACUGGUAGGAUGAAAUAAUACUUCAAUUGACUAGUUUAAGUUAAUAAAAUUUGUGUGCCGGACCAAAUUAGAUGGCUAAUAUGUGAAAACCAUUAACAGCACAGCUACUGGUGUAACUAUUGCUUUCCACCCCUCAUACCCUUCACCCCUUCCACUACUCCAUAGGAAACUAAAUAGCAAGUCAACGAAAGUUCAAUGGCACACACUAUCACAAAGCUAAAUUUGAAUGAUUUUACAUAUUUGAAGGAUUUUCAAAAAUGUAAAACAAUAAUUACAUAGCGUAUCUCCGCUAGUAAACUGUUUAAGUACUUUUUUUCCAACAUUAUUGACUCGUCCACUGUGUGCAAAUGUCUGUGUGUACCUGUGAGGCUUCAGGUGUUGGUAAUGAUGCUCUGCGACUCCUCCAAAAACUGAGUAAAUCCCAAAGCCGUUGCCAGAUGUAGGAUGUAAACAAACACAUGUUGUGGACUAGCCAAGUGUCCCAAAUGGUCGUAAUGUUCGCCAAUACUCUGACAUUUCCCUUCAUCAUUCCUCUAACGGCCUCACUUUGCAGCAACAACUUCAAGUGACGCCUUUCAGAGGACGACAGCAAACUUCAUGUGCAAGGGACGCCCAAAUUAUUAAUACUCCUCUAUCAUGCAAUAGAGCCUGUCUGUUAAUUCAACCGCUCCUAUCAGCACUUAGAGUCGAAUGACGGCCGGUUUGUCCCUGUGACAAAAGAGUGACAGGUGCCAGGGAAGAGUGUGUGACAUGAUAAACUCACUCAGUAAGCCUCCCCAUCUUCACUCGAAAGCCCUUUGACUUGGUGACGUAUGUGAUGACGUAUGUGAUGACAUAAUAUGUUGACGUAACGUUUCACUAGUCUACGAGUGUAGCUGUCCAUACAAUUUUCUCCGUAUUUUUGCUUAUUUACUGUUGAUAGUUGUUUUCUUCCCAUUAUUAUGUAGUUUACAACCGCACUGUUGCCAAAUUAUUUCAUUUUCUGCUGUUGUGUGCGUUCCUGCUCUCUUUUUCUAUAUGUAUCCAAUGUUUACUGACUUCCCAAUUGAACUAACAAGUGAUUGUAAGUGAAACAUUUAUUUGCCACUAUGGAGGCGAGGAUUAGAUGAUGUAAAGUGUUUAACCAAGUGUGCAGCCAACAAGCUUCCAUAGCUCCAUAUUUAAAAGCAGACUUUUAAAAUGAAAAAGACUACCACAGACACUGAUACCAUUAUGGCUACAGGACAUGUAAAUAGUCAGCAAAUUGUUUUCUUUGUUGAUAGUACACCUGAACUGCUCAUAACUAGUGAUGUGCGGAUCAAUGCUGAAAUAUUGAUAAUAUUUCCAACACCAGCUCUUCAUACGCUAACAUCGAUACUCAAAUUCAAAUAGUAUAUUUAGCUAUAGCUAUUUCAGGCAUUUGAGGUUUGUUGACACGAUGUAGUAGUCCUUAAAGGGAUAAAUGGGAUUGUUGGACAUGAGGUUGACACCCCCAUAAACAGUGAAGUCCGUCAACAGCGACUCACUCCCACUUUGUGUCCUGAGCCGAGUUCUGGUCAGAUUUCUGGGGAAAGUAGUUCCAUCUAGUUGCUGGGGACAGUUAAGUAAAGAGCUUGGCUUCUCAAAACAAUAUGCGUUCAAAAGCAUAAUACAUUUGUAUCACAAAAAUGCCUACUCGAAAAAAUCUGACUUCAUAAAUCGCUCUGCGUUAUUUUCUCUGCUGUCGUAUGACUUUGCACUUUCGCAAAUAUUGGAUAAAUAAAGUUGAUCUUAAACAUAGCUCUCAUCAUUGACUAUCACAACUAUACUGUUAUUGAUGAUAUUGAAAUCCUCUCAUUCCAUGCCUCUUUUGAAGUGCACUAAUUGACAUAAUCUCUGUCUCAAGGAGAAAUUGUGAUUGAGGGAUCAAGACUUUUUGUCCAUGCACACACUGGUGGAAAUAAAUAGCCCAAGCUAUCACUGUAUGACCACAGUGCCAAAUGUAACAGACAAAACACAUGCAAGAUUAUUAUGCAAGACAGAGUUUAAUGUGAACAUAUAUAGUAUGUUUGCAAACAUAUUGCAGCAUCCUAUGUUUAUGCAAUGCUGCAUCAAACAUAUUUAAGUUUUCUCUCCAUUGGGUUGCGCGUAUUUCUACAUUGCUGUGGUUAUUAGGCAUGUCUUGUUUAUAUUAUAACUUGCUUACACAUAAACCUGUUGUCAUUAACGGUCAAAUGGAUCUUCCAGUGACAUAAAUGGUACUUCGUGUCAAGAACAAAAACAAACCCAGUAAAGCCAGCAGUGCUGUUCUUUAAAUUUGGCUUUAUAGCCCCCUCUACUGGUGCUACUGAUUACCUUGACUUAAUCGUGCGUAAUUGCUCUCCACUCUAAGUACUGUAUUUAAAGAAUGCAUGGACUGCAUGGAUACCUCUAGUUCCAACUUCAUCUCCCAGAAGGAACGCAUAGUUUUCACUUUCUUUAAGUCAGGGAAGAAGGCCGGCCGGGUCAUGUUUCUGCUGUUGGCACCCUGAGGAACUGAUUUAAACUUGGCCAUUCUCCACUUGGCUUGGCUCUUCUUGUCUUCCCACCCUGGUGUUUAAUCUGAGCAGAAACAUAGGCAAGGAUUGUUGCACAUAGAAGGAAAAUCGCACCAUACGAUCACCAUUUGGAUUGAUUUUGUAGCUGCAAUGUGCUAUCGCUAUGCUUUUUUACCACACACUCAACCUCUGGCAUACUAAUUAACAACACAAAAUGUAGUAUUAUUGUUUCAUCUAUGUUUAAAGCUAUACAAUAAGAUUUUUCAUGAAACGAUUUUAACAAAGGCUGUAUAGGUUUACUUUCAAGCGCUGUAUCUGGGUGUU